rnacentral:lncRNA from 1 species
UGAACAGUGGAUUGUUGUUACUGAUUCCCUUCUAGGUGGUGAAAAGUGACAGCUGCUCUGUGCAGUUACGAUGCUGCACUGCCACAGUAACCUUCUCCCUCUGUGGUGAUCCAAUAUUCUACCAUAUGUCAGCAAAACUAUUCCAGCCCGGCCCUUUCAACUCUCCCGAAUCUAAGCCAACAGUCAAGGUACUAUGAAGACGUCAGGCGUAUGGAAAUAACAGAUGGGAAAGGCGAGCAGAGAUCAUUACUCUGAACUGUCUUGGAUGUCCCUGGGCAAUGCUAAGCUAACAUUCAGCAGUGUCUACAAGAUGACACACAACAUGUUGAAAGAAUGGAGCGGUGAUUCCCUUGGAAGGAUGUGAAAAGCUUUCCAAUCUCGAGGUGAUAUCAGAGCUCUUUCCCAUUGAAACACUUGGAUGCUCUUUCUCCAGCUAUCAUGCUCUCUUUUUUCCACUCAAGCAAUGGAGGGUUCAUAACGGCACCUGCCUGGUUGGAGAGAGGUUUAAGCAGAUGACAAGGAGGAAGUGCCUGGUGCAGGAUAAGGCCUCAGGAAUGGCCCAGGUUGUCCCUGCUUGGAGCUUCAGAUGUGGUUUGAACCCAGGUCUGCAUGAUUCUCAAGUCAUACUUCAACAAACACAAUAAAACUCAUAUCAAAUGUUGGACAGCAUUACUUGGCAUUAUUGGGUUGCAAAACUUCAAGCCAGUUA